GAUGAACGCUGGCGGCGUGCCUAAUACAUGCAAGUCGAGCGAACGGACGAGAAGCUUGCUUCUCUGAUGUUAGCGGCGGACGGGUGAGUAACACGUGGAUAACCUACCUAUAAGACUGGGAUAACUUCGGGAAACCGGAGCUAAUACCGGAUAAUAUUUUGAACCGCAUGGUUCAAAAGUGAAAGACGGUCUUGCUGUCACUUAUAGAUGGAUCCGCGCUGCAUUAGCUAGUUGGUAAGGUAACGGCUUACCAAGGCAACGAUGCAUAGCCGACCUGAGAGUAUGAUCGGCCAGACCAGAACUAGAACACGGUCCUAACUCCGACGGGAGGCAGCAGUCGGCAAUCUUGCGCGAUGGGCGGAGGCCUGACGGAACAACGCCGCGUGAGUGAUGGAGGUCUUCGGAUCGUAAAACUCUGUUAUUAGAGAAGAAAAUAUGUGUAAGAAACUGUGCACAGCUUGACGGUACCUAAUCAGAAGGCCACGGCUAACUACGUG
rnacentral:rRNA from 1 species